rnacentral:rRNA from 1 species
GAUGAACGCUAGCGGCAGGCUUAACACAUGCAAGUCGAGGGGCAGCGAGGGUAGCAAUACCUGUCGGCGACCGGCGCAAGGGUGCGUAACGCGUGAGCAACAUGCCCGUAUCAGGGGGAUAAUCCAGGGAAACUUGGUCUAAUACCCCAUAGUAAUGUUUUCAGGCAUCUGGAGAUAUUUAAAGCUUAGGUGGAUACGGAUUGGCUCGCGUGACAUUAGUUAGAUGGUAGGGUAACGGCUUACCAUGACUAUGAUGUCUAGGGGUUCUGAGAGGAAGGUCCCCCACACUGGAACUGAGACACGGUCCAGACUCCUACGGGAGGCAGCAGUGAGGAAUAUUGGACAAUGGAUGGAAAUCUGAUCCAGCCAUGCCGCGUGCAGGAAGAAUGUCCUAUGGAUUGUAAACUGCUUUUGAUGGGAGCAAUAAGGUAUUCGUGAAUACCGAUGAGAGUACCAUACGAAUAAGCACCGGCUAACUCCGUG